rnacentral:rRNA from 1 species
UUAUUACAGAAAUAAAGGUAUCUGCUUAAAUUACCGUACCAACCGCGUUCGCGAUGUGAUAUUAAUUCCCAUAAACGUUACCAAACUUCAUGGAAGUGCUCCUUUACUUCGGAGGAUAAAAAGUAAACCUAGAUUUCGGUGGGUUGUAUAACGACCUAUUCUUGUACUAGGGCUUUUAACGUCUAAAGCCUAACAGGUCUAAGAAGUUCCUUCUUUUUAGGGUGUAGUGGUUAUCAGGAUAUCCUUGUGAACCCAUGAAUGGUGGUCUCAAGUAUUUAGUCUUGUAUUAGAGUUUAUUCGACCUAUAUAAGUCGAAUCCACAACAUUAGUAUUCCUAUUACCGGCCUUGGCUUCCGAUGAGGUUUUCACGACUUUACGGCGGGCUCGUUAAAUGACUCUAGCAUGUGCCCUUAACCUCCUUAUCCGAUGUUAGUCGCCGCAGUCCCCUAAACAACCUCAGCAUAAGACAUGUUCAUUUCUCUACGUAGCUUUAACGAAAUUCGACACACCACCGGCUGGCUGUCUUUUCUGGUUGAUAUCCCCGAUAACAAUUAUACGAUUCACUCUCUCUCUGUGAUCUUUUACUAGUUCCCCUUAACUAACUGGUCUACUCGUGAACGCACCAGUUACUGUGACUCGACUAUCUACAGGUAGGGGAGGUCGAGGUGAAGAGAAAGACUGGCUUGUUCAAAUAGAGGACGGGUAAAGUGCAUUGAUUGUUGUACCUACUAGUCGUACACAGGCACUCCACACAGGGUUUUGUGCUCCUCCGUUGGGCAAUAAUGGUGCGGGCAGACUCGGCGUAACAGCCACAACACGGUGGUUCCAGAUGUGUGUGGAAACAACAUUACUACUUUGUUAAUGUCGCCGGCGGCCGGUUGUACCUGCACGAACUAUAUCAGUAUCUCUGAUAGGAUCCCCUUCAUGACAGUAGCCUAAUAGCCAAACUCUACAUAAAAUUCCUACGAUCUUUUCUUUUGUCGGCACCUAAAGCACUCCACUGGGAUUUCCGACAUACACGUUGUUGCACACUCUUCUGCUGUAGACUCCAGUAUGAAGUACUACUAAUAAUGAUAUCUGAUUCCAGUUACCUACACGUGGGAUGUCUCGGAACCUAAAACCGUCGGAUAGAGUUUGCCGAACACUAAACCUUGAUGUUCUGGGUCUGUUCUUACUACCUCGCACUUAAGAUGGGACCCAACCGAGUAAGGGAGUCUUUCGAACCGCGGAGGAGGCUACCCAUGCAAUCCACGCAAUCCAAGUAGAACGACAGCUGCUUCUUUAACAAGCACCACCCACUACCCGUACCCAUGUAGGUGCACAUACUUACAUACCGUUACUUCUCUCAGUUCCUUAAGUUUCGAGUGCUGACACACUAGUGUAGGAAUCGGCAAGUGGGCAGAGUUGGUAAACACGACAGCCGUAGAAGGUUGUUUGCCUAGUUCGAAACCUUGACCCUGUUCCCCACCCUCACGUAGGCCUGUAAGACACCUGUGAGUCCCAACCACUUGGUUCAGUUCAAAUUAGGCGUACUGUUGUGGUGAAAACGGUCACGAAGUGAACUGCCGUGUCACUUCUAGACCUCUUAAAGAAGAGGGUGAGUAAAGUGGUCGGAGUUGACGCUUCUCCCAGUCCAGACGCAACUAAUGAUAGGGUGCCCACCACUAGUCGUCGUGAUGUACCGAUGUCCUAGUCUGAUACCCUGCCGUGCGUAGACCCUAAACGCUUGUGUCUUUACAUAGGCACUUUAGCACAGACGCCUAUAUCAACCACACUAGCUAACGGUUGGUUUAGCAGGUCGUCACAACCAAUGGCGCAGUCUCUUGUUACCACAAAGAGAGGUGCUGAGGUGUUAGAUGUCCAGACUCCCUUGCCAAGUAAAGCCAGAACCGGGACAAAAUACAAAACGUAUGUAGUUCCCGUAUUCUUCGGAGCGGUAACGUGUAUGGGACCCGUAACGUUAGCACCCUUAGCUACUUAAAAGGUUCCUGCGGGAAGGAGGACGUUCCAUU